GACUUUUGUGAUUCACAUGUGUGUUUUCCAACUGAUUUGUAUACAGAGCACUUAUGAUGUUUGUCAACAUUAUGUAAAAUGAGUUAUUUAUUCAUCUAUAUUUUUCUAAGUAAUAAUUUAGAUUUUUUAAUAUUAUUUAAGCAUAAGAACUUAUUUCUAAAUCAGUCUAGACUGUUUUCAAAAAAAAAAAUCAGUCUAGUCUAAUAAUGUAUUGUAUUCAAUAUACACAGUAGUAGUAUUCUUUAAGGUGGAGGCUGAGUGUAUUCUUGAGACAUAGCAAAGGGUUACG
rnacentral:lncRNA from 1 species